GAUGAACGCUGGCGGCGUGCCUAAUACAUGCAAGUCGAGCGAACAGACGAGGAGCUUGCUCCUCUGACGUUAGCGGCGGACGGGUGAGUAACACGUGGAUAACCUACCUAUAAGACUGGGAUAACUUCGGGAAACCGGAGCUAAUACCGGAUAAUAUAUUGAACCGCAUGGUUCAAUAGUGAAAGACGGUUUUGCUGCCACUUAUAGAUGGAUCCGCGCCGCAUUAGCUAGUUGGUAAGGUAACGGCUUACCAAGGCAACGAUGCGUAGCCGACCUGAGAGGGUGAUCGGCCACACUGGGACUGAGACACGGUCCAGACUCCUACGGGAGGCAGCAGUAGGGAAUCUUCCGCAAUGGGCGAAAGCCUGACGGAGCAACGCCGCGUGAGUGAUGAAGGUCUUCGGAUCGUAAAACUCUGUUAUUAGGGAAGAACAAAUGUGUAAGUAACUAUGCACGUCUUGACGGUACCUAAUCAGAAAGCCACGGCUAACUACGUG
rnacentral:rRNA from 1 species